CCGAAAGGGAAAAACGGUAUAGAAAAUGAAUGAAUUUCUGAAUCCUGUUAAAGGUUUUAUCUGAACAGUCUGAGUUUGUCUCCUGUUGGUCAUGUCACCUUCAACUUUUUGAACCAGAGAUGUUUAUGUCUUGCUGGGAGCCAUCAAACAUUCCCAUCUCCAAUUAAAGCCAAGGUAAGUGUGACCCAUGAUGAGCAGCUAAAGCCUGAUAAAGAUCUUUGCUCUCAGUGUGCUUCUGUAUGCAGCAUCUCCUCCUCAUCUUCUCUUUGCUGUGAUUUCCCAGGAUGAACAUGACCAUUGGCUCUUCAUGGAGGUGGCCAUUAUGUCCAAACUAAAAGAUGCAGCAAGUCAGUCAUUUGAAAAAGCAGCACCAGUCGUUCUGCUGGACUGAUACAAUCUGCACAGCGAACCCACCAUAGUUACAGAGAGACCAGUCCCAUCUACAGACAUGUUGGCUUGUAUAGGUAGCAAAGGAAGUUUCCAGCUAUGCUCACAUCUCCCUCGGCAACUGGCGUUUUGGUGGCCACUUCCAAUGAAAAGUUUACAUAAAUGCACAAAAAUGCCCUUUUCGAUUUGGAUUUGACGUAUGGAUUUAGUUUGUUUGGUGAACCCAGAUGCCACGACAAACCUUUCAAUUUCUGCGUUUGUUGUUCAAAUAAAGAUAAGCCAAGGCCACUCUCCUGAAUGAUGGCAAUCCCUAUCCGCUAUUGCAAGGACGUUUUUUUCUGUUUGUGCCCAAAUUGUGAGAUUUUUCAACUGUAAGUGGUGGACAUGCACUGGUGGACAUGCACUCCUUGUCAAGUGUGAGCACGGUGGGUUAAACGCAAGUUUUUGAACGUGCGUCAAAUGCCCAUUGUGUUCGUAGCCUCAGAUGUUCUUACUCUACUUCUAAAGAAACUUCCUGAGGUGGAAGGUAUGCUCAUGGCCUGAAAUCUAGUUGGUAAAACAGACACUGCACUCCUGAGAAGCAAAUUAUUGUCAACUCUUUUUCCUCACUUAUCUCUUUUAGAUCAUAAUGAAAUAGUUGGUCAAUACUGCAAUAGAUUUUCAGGAGAAAAACCUCUUUCAUCGGGACAUAAAACUCUUGAAAAAUCCUGAUUGAGACUAAGCUCAGAUGUCCCACGUGCUCGUCUCAUCAACUUUGGAGUAAGCUGCGUCACCAAGGAGCGAUCCUGUUACAAAGUCUUUGCAAGUAACAGAUCUGCAUCUGCAAAUACGAAAACGUUUAACAAGCAUAAACUUAUUUGAAGCUUGUGUUUUUUGGACAUGCCCAAUCAUGCUCCCCCAGAGUUUCUAUUUGACUGCAGCUGCAGAGCUGGACCGACCACGGUGUGGCAGCUGGGUGUGGUUCUACAUGAAGCUUUGCAUCAAUGUGAGCCGUUUUUAACAAGAGCAUUUUUCAGAGGGAUGGUGAAGAUCAGCAAACACCUGUCACAAGAUUUUGAAAGGUUAUUGCCAAUAUGUAUGACCAUCUACCUGGAGGACUGGCCCAAACUGACUGACCUACUGCUGCAUCCAUGGGUGAGAUGAAAUUAGCAUGCACACACACACACAUGCCAAACAUACAUACACACACGCACACACACACUUCAUAUCUAUAGAUUUCUUUUAGAACCAUAGAAAAGUCCAAAUUAAAAGUACGCCGUAAGUGUUCUUCUCGGCCACUCCGGUUUCCCCUUUAAAUCAGAAAUAAAUGGCAACACAGAGAUUAGCAAACUUGAACAGACCUUAAUGUGUGUCGAGGGUUUUUAUUGUUUAUUUGUUUAAUUCAACCAAAAAUAAUACCGAUUAGAACAAUAUCAGGGUCUAAAUUAAAAGUGCACAUGGGGUUUUCUCCGAGAAUAUUGGCAACACAGAGAUUGUGAAACGUGAAGUUACAUUAGUGUGUGUAGAGGGUCGCAAAGUCUAAAUAUAAAGUAGAGGGUAGAGGUUCUCUCCGGGUACUCCCCUAUUGUCAGAAACUAUCGAUCUUAGAGGCAUUCGGUAAUUUUUGCAAUUUUAAAUUUAUUUAUUUUUUGUCAGUUCAGGACAAAAUUUAAGUCUUAUUGUUGGAAUUGGUUUCCUGUUGUUACAUAUUGGUGUUUCCCUUCUUGUACCUUCAAGUUCCUGUUUUUUGUCCCAUUGUUAUCUUCUUUCUCUUCUUCAUUUUUUUUUAAACUGUAAAUGUCCUAAUGUGCCACUUCCAUAUUUUUAUGAAUUUACUCGUUCUUUCCAAGCCUUCUUUCUGGGAGCUUUCCGUUUUACCGUUUGUUAUUUCAUCCUGGCAUCCUUUCUUCACUCUCUAUCCUCUUACCAAAUCUAAACCAUGUCAAUCUGGCUUCUCUAUUGUUUAAUCUCUAAAACAUCUAACAUGAGGCUUUCUCGCUCCUGACCUUUUAUCCUCAUUUCUGCCACACUGCUAGUUUCUACUUAUAUUUGUGAGUCAUUAUCAGGUGUGGUAGUCAGGGGGAAAUUGUCAAACAUGAAGGGCAGAGAUCCUUGAGGACAGAUUUUAGAAAGCAUUGCACUAGCCUUGUUAGCUUUGUUAGGACAUUGGACCACUCCUUGUAAGACAAAAUGCAAUAUAGUUGGUUAGAUUUAGAGCCUAGUGCUAUUUGUGCUUCAGUUUGGGUUAUGGAUAAACGGGUAAGGGGUAGAUUAAGUAUCAGGGUAGGGGUUAGGCUCUAAAGAAUGCAUGGAAUAAUGUUUUGAUGUGGGUUACUCACUCAUAAGUUGUCUCUGUGUUUGAGCUCUUUUCAGAAACAUUUGUUGUGGUUGGAGUGAGCGAGGAGGGAGAGGACAGAACCUGAUGAAGACAGAUGCUUGGCGGAGGUGACCCUACAGGGAGCAGUUGAAAGACAAAGACUGAGGUCUCCUGCUGCUGUUUGUUCUUUACAGUAGCUUUAUUUCUGCAGCUCCUUUAACCCUCCAGCCAUCGAUGGAAAGGAGAUCUCUCUUUGAAUUGCCUUUCCCGAGGGUUCUUCUUAAAUUGGCUUUACAUGGAGUUUUACCUUGUCUUCACGGAGAGCUAGAGCUGGGGAGUAGCGCGCACAACCCACAAUGGGUUGUUUAAAUUAUGAUUGGCAUUUUAAAAAACUGUAAAUAGAAGUUAAAAUUGUAAAGCUAAAAGUAACAGAUCUAGUUAGACACCUUAAAUAUGAAGAUUUUUUUUUUUUUUAUUAAAAGAAAUUAUUAACAGAGGCAAGUUCAAUUAUACUUCCACCGACCAGAAAUACCUAGAACAAGAAAUAUUGUUUUGUUUUUUUGUUGUGAAAUAAAAAAUAAAAAAACUCAAAAAGAUAAACAUGCAUGCUGUAAAAAAAGAAAAUAUCUCACUCAAAAAAAGGUUAAAAAAUAUUGUAAAGAUUGUAAGAAAAAUGCAAACAAGGAAAAGCUCCACAUGCUGCAAAAGGGAGUAAAAAAACACACAUCUCAGGAUUAUGAACAUACUUAGAGGCAACAAUGGACAAGAAACCCAUUCAAGAAAAGUUCAAGAGAAAGUGGAAUUUUAAAAAAAAAUUUAAAAAAUGGACAAGGAUAAAAAACCAAUACAUUCAGCACAUGUAAAAUGUUGUUUCUCUUUCGGCUUUUCCCAUAAGGGGUCGCCACAGCGAACGAGUCGCAUGGUAAACUUGGCAAUGUUUUACGCCGGAUGCCCUUCCUGACGCAACCCUCUCAAAGCAACCGCACAUGUAAAAUAAAAAGUAAAAAAAUCUCAAAAUAAUGAACAUUUAUGCUGGCAAAAAUUGGUGGUUGUGAAAGAAUAAAAAACCCAAUUAAAAAACAUCUACAAUAAUUGAGAUUUUUACAGAAAUAAAAAAAUGACAGCAAAAAAGAGGAAAAGAAUUGCACCACACUUGGCAGCUAGUCCAUGGAUGGUGCCAAAUAAAGCCCCUGCUGGAUGGAUCAGAGAUGAAGUACGGAGUACAGGCAGUGUUGAGGGCUCCCAACAUCAAUUGCCCCAGAGCGCUGCAACUGGGGCAUGGAGAGAAGCAACAGCAGAGGAGAGAUCUAGAACAACAGCGUACAUUCUACAAAAUCAAUGUCCAAACUAAAAAUCUUGCAUUGAGUAAAAGGAAAAAGUAUUGAGAACAUUUUUGUCAGAUACAAUGAGCUGUUUCACAUCACCUUUAACUUGCCUAGGAACACAAACAUUAUAUUGCGAAAUACGUAAAAAAAAAUGUCUCUAUACCCUUUGACUCUUGCAUUCCAAAAAUAUUUGAACUGUCUCCACCAAUCAAGUAUAAAGGCCCAAAGAUAAACAUCUUCAGUCUAGCCAAUCAAACAUGUUGCAACUUUGCACCCUUGGAUACAAUUUCUUGUGGUAGUAUGGUAGUGAUGCCAUCAUGGGUGAUAAUUCCUUCAUUAUCACAAAAGUCACAGUUAAAAAUCAGUCUGAGUCUUUAUUUAAGCAAAGGUAAAGUUUUGUUCUUCUUGCAAAAUUGUACCCAAAGAAAGACUUGAAAUUGUGGAAAAUAACAGAACAGAAAGCAGGUAAAAUUAAAAAAAGAAAAGAGACGCAAAUGAAGUUACCAAUAGUCGCAAUAAACUGAAAACUGAACUAAAAUAAAAUAAUUGUUGUUCUUUACCCCAAGAAAGUAAAACCUCAGUGUACCAACUUUUUCUUUCUCAUUUUUAAAUUUAACUUUAUAACAUGAUGAGCGUGAAUAUAUUGUUGGUCAUUUUUGUAGAAAAUGUCUCAGGUAUGCUCCUAUUGUAUAUUUGCUUAGGUUUUGCAGUUGCUCUUGCAAAAACAUGUUCUGUAUGUAUAGUAAAAAUGUUUAGUUCCAACAUUACUUAAUGUAGCUUCUUCAGUAAUUUUAAGCGGUUCAGGAGCCUGAACAGUACUUCAAAACUAACGGGGAAAAAAUAACACCAAUUCUUUCCAGAAACAAUAAAGUGUGAUGAGGCAACAUGACAGGGUGAAGGAGAGCGCUUUAAUGUGGCUAAGAUCCUUAACAAAACAAGCUGGUUCUCGCUGAUAUCUUGUAAUUAUGUGUGGUGUACACCAGAUCAAAGAGCCUCAAUGUGCAGUGCUGCCAACUAGCGGUCAGGGGAUAACUGGAAAACAAGAGUCAGACCCUGAUAGAAGCUCAAAUAAUUGAAUAAAUAUCCUCCUGAUAGUAUUUUAAAUCGGUACAAAUAUCACCUAAUGAACUAUCGCGAUACAUCGCGGAAUCGAUUUUCCCUACCCCCAUAUUCACUAAGGUUGGGAGCAAACAAUCAACGUACUAUAUUCUGAAUGAAAAGAAGAAGAGAAGGCAUGAGGGGGUAAACAAUCUGCUCCUGAGAGGAGGACACCCCCUGUUGUCAGAGGCAUGUUGGUGCAGUGUGAGAUGAUCAGGGUUCUGUGAUGACAGGAGGUCCUAGUCCUGGGACUGAAGGUAAUUUUUUUUAUUUUCAUCAUUCAAUUCAAUUAAUUUAGUUUUAUUUAUAUAGCUCAGAAUUAUUGUCUCAAUGGGCUUCACACCGGUAAAUGUAAAAAUCCUAAAAUCCUUUACAAAAUAUAAUAGCUGAUUCCUUAACUAAACUAAACAGAUUUAGCUUAACUGGGCAUCCCUGCCCUUAGAUCCUCUGCUUCUUUAAGGAAAAACUCCUAAAAAAAAAAGCCUGAUUCCAGAGGGGAAAAAAUAAGAAAAAUAUAAUCACCCCACCUUAGGUAAAGGUAGGAUCAUGUGAACGAAGACGGACAUUUUCAAGAUUUUGAUGGCUUUUAUAACAGAGCGAUGAAAGUAAUUAUUUUUUUGAGCUUUCCUUUAUAAUCAUAAACAUUAUAAACAUAUAAACAAACACAACAUCUGUCUUCCCUUGUUCUUAGCUAGUGCUACUCAUAUAAAACCUGAGGAAGUUAUGUUUUAGUCGCGGUGACCUGAAGGGAAAACUGACAAGUCCAACCUGCUAAGUGAGUCACUGAGGCUUGGAAAUGUUAAUGAGAAAAGACAUGACAUAUUGGUGCCAUGGCAUGCACAUACAACAUGUAACAAGCACUGAUUAAUGCCACAGAAAUAAAGCCUUUAAAAUGUUUUAUUGUGGGUUUGAAUACCUGUGUUCUCAAGUGCUAGGGUUCUAAAAUAUUGUCACUUGGAUAUGAACUUUUAAAAAUGACUGUCAUCUGAGUCGAUUCUUUUAUUUACCAGUGGGGCAAAGAAGUAUUUGUCAAUCAUUCUAAAAGUUGUCUCACUUCAAAAGAUGAGAGAGGUCUGUAGUAUUCGUCAAAGGUAUGGUACAAUCCCGCUGUAUGAUGUUCAUGGAAUUUGUAUAAUCGUGCAAAAAACAAGAAUUUAGCUCCAACAAAUAAAACAGAACUUUUGUCCCUCACAAACCUGUUACUUCUUCUUCUUCUAUACUCCACUCACUACCUGUAUCAAUGUCACCUGU